AUUCAUAUACACCAUAAGUGGUUUUAGUACAUAUACUACGUUCUUGAAACAUUUACAUCCGAAUUCUCAAAACAAAAGUAUCUCACAAAUCUAAAUAGUGAACAUACAAUAGUUGAAGACUUGAAGGAUAAUAAAACUUGAACUCUUACGACAACUAUACAAGGAAUGCUCCCACAACCUUACACAUUCAACUCAAACCAUACAAAUUGAACUUUUUACAAUGCUGGUUCCUUGAGCUUUGUCUCAAUUUAUUCCUAGAAACCUCCAUCUUUUAAGGCUCUUAAUCCAUUAUCGAACCCCAACAUAUUAGCUUCCCUUCAUUAAUUUUCAUUAGCUGAUAU
rnacentral:lncRNA from 1 species